rnacentral:rRNA from 1 species
CGCGUGGAUAACCUGCCUCACACAGGGGGAUAACAGUUAGAAAUGACUGCUAAUACCGCAUAAGCGCACGGCAUCGCAUGAUGCAGUGUGAAAAACUCCGGUGGUGUGAGAUGGAUCCGCGUCUGAUUAGGUAGUUGGUGGGGUAACGGCCCACCAAGCCGACGAUCAGUAGCCGACCUGAGAGGGUGACCGGCCACAUUGGGACUGAGACACGGCCCAA